CCUGGUGUUUCUCUUUCUGGUUGAUUUGUAUCAUUUCCCUUCAGUCGAUGUGGAUGUUUUCUCUUUCCAGUCGAGCUGAUGUUUUUUCCCUCUUAAUAUUUGACCUAUUUGGAUCUGUUUGCAGACUAUCACCUUUACUAUCCUCUAUAUAAUAAAAUAUACCUUCAGUUCAUUUGUUUGGAGUGGAGAGUGUCUUUUACGUCUCCGAUCGAAUCCCCGAACCUCUCAUAACACCUUCUUGCCAGGCAGAAAGUUCUUUUCCGGUGCCUUCAAUUUGAGCUCCUUUAUUUGGUGCCGGUCCCCUAGAGAGAGCUUCAGGAAAUAACAUAGCCUCUGUUUCUGCCCCAUAUGAGCUUGGAGGAUUCUGAAAGCAUGACCCACUCUGAAGUUUAGAAAUGAAGGCCUGUUGUUUCACCUGGCUCUGGGUUUCUAGGUCUCCUCUUUUGAGGAUCGUGCUCUCUGUCUUUGAGCCAGAAUUGGACACAGAAUUGGUAACCUUCAAGAGCUGUGUUGGAGAGCCAACUGAACCAGCUGGACCAGACUUUAAAGGUUUCCUCUUGUGCACUGACCCUUUUGUGUGAAAGGAAUAGGAUCGUGGAUGGCUGAGCCAGUCCUCUCUGCACUGACCCCUGAGCCCCCUCCUAAGCGGCACUUGUGGGAGACUUGGGCAGAAAGGACCAAAAGGGGUCCCUUGUUUCUAUGAGAAACAUCCCUCUGGGGCCGGCCCGGUGGCGUAGCGGUUAAAUGCGUGCUCUCUGCUUCAGCAACGUGGGGCUUGCAGGUUCGCAUCCCGGGCGCACCCCGACACACUGCUUCUCAGGCCAUGCUAUGGCAGUGUCCUGUAUAAAGUAGAGGACGAUGGGCACAGAUGUUAGCCCAGGGCCAAUCUUCCUCAGCAAAGAAAAGAGGAGGAUUGGCAAUGGAUGUUAGCUCAGGGCUGAUCUUCCUCAUAAAAAAAAGAAAGAAAGAAACAUCCCUCUGUAGUUUUAAUGGGUCAUUCUGACGAAGUUGAGGGUGUGUGUUUGGUGGUAAUUUAGGUCAGUCUCUGGCUCCCAAGGACUUUACCUGACUCUCUUGAGCAGUUCACUGUUCCUCUGUCUUUGCUUACCCAUUAGGAGUGCUCUGCACCGAGGCGGCAGGUGAGAAGGGCUGGAGGAGCGAUCAAGCCCAGCCCUUGUGGAGCAGCUUGGCCACCAGCAGCCCUGGCCAGAUAGCUUCUUGCAGUUUGUCCACACUGUUGUCUUCUGCGUGGGUAGUCGUGAUUAUCAAUUACCAAGGUCCCGUUCAGUGCUUUUUGCAGCGCCUGCUCAGCCCGUUCUCUUUUUCAAAGGUGUGGGCAGCGAGGCCCCGGACGUUAUUCUACAGAUGGCGUAGCCCAUCAACUCCGUAGUUGAACGAACCGCUCUGUUGUUUGGCUGCCUUUCUCCUUGCCUCUCCACCACUGCUUCCUCCUUUGGAGUAUGCCUCAACCCACUCAGGGACAACUGCCCUUACUCAGCCUUCCAGCCCACCUGUGGUUCCUCAGGUCCCUUCCCCAAGGGCCUGGUGAGAGGACAGCCAGUGUUGGGCACUGGCCUGGGAAGCUGGUAGGCCUCUGUUUGGAUAGAAUGCAGCUGUCCUGGCCGUUGUGGAAGCUGUCCUCAGGGCCUGCGGAUCCUGGCACGUCCUGGGACAGUGCAGCUCCUCUCUCUGAGGAGGAGUUGGACCUAUUCCUUCUAAAGGCUUCAGCUGUAUCCUGUCACCGAGAACCACCUCCUUGGGUGUUCCCUGCCAGGCUGGGAAGCUAAACUGGGGCCCUCCUCCAGUGCCUUUGUAGGGCCUGGAAGUGCCAAGAGCCGCCCCACUGCCCAGCGUUGUCCACACUGGGAACACUCUCUUCUUCCUCCCUACCCAGCAUCUCCAUGGACUUUGUCUGUACUGCCAGGCUCUUGCUUGUGUCGUGUCAGAAGUUCUGUGUGUGACGCCCUUGCCUGUGCCAUGUUGUCCCAGAUUGCCCAGUGGCUGCUUCUUGUAGAUGUUUUGAUGCCCCUGAGCAUUUUUCUGUGCCUUUCGAUCCAAGAGGAGGAGCUACUUGCAGCAACUGGCUACCACAGUGUUAGAAGAGAGCUGGGCACUUGCUUGAGCUUGGCAGGGAGGAAAUGGCCCCUUGCCAUUUCAGACAUGUCAGGUUUCAGACAUGUAGGUCUUCUUCCUUGGCAGAUGAUUCCUGGCCUUCAUAACUCAUAGACUGGUGAUUAGCGUGUGACUCCAGUGCUGUCUCCUUGGGACUUUGGUCAAGGAAUCAAGCACGGGUCAGGACGUCUGCGUUUAUGAGUUGCCACCCAUGGCGGGGUGUUGGGCUCCAGGUCCUUCACCUUGCCAGCUCCUUCUGCCCCACCCUGGGAAAAUCAGCAAAGCCGAUGUCUGCUUCCUUGGAAAUGAGCAGAGUACUUCUCGAAUUGGAAAGUAUUUGCUGAUUCAGGCUCAGAAUAACAACAUCUCAAGGUGUGUGCGUGAGGGACAGUGGAGGAGCCAGCUUGCCUUAGGAGUACUCUUUGAGUUUUGUUUAAUUGUAACUUAUUAGAGCUGCUUUUCUGACCCCCCAGUGCCUCUCAGCUAAAGAUGUUGGGUUUCUUUCUGUCCUGCAGUAUUGCCUGGUGUUUUGGGCAUGCCCAUGGUACUCAUGCAGUGCCUUCUGCUCACCAGCAGAGGAGAACAGAUGCACCAAAGAGGUAAUCCCAUUUUCCUUACCGAGAGGCCUCUGACAACUGACUGACAUGUCUCAGAUUUAGGAUCCUGGCCUAGAAGAUAAAAUAAUUUCACUAGGGCCGAGUCCCAGAUCCCAGGUGCCUGUCAUAGCACCUGGUACUCAUCACACAUGUAGUGGGCACUUAUUAAAUAAUUAUUGAAUGUCAGUGACUUAACAUAGUUUUUUUGGGAACAUUGAGAUUUUUACCUUUACACCCACUAAAGCAUAAACUCCAAAAGGGCAAGGACUUAUUUUGUUUCCUGUUGUGUCUAGGACAGUACUUGGCACAGAGGAGAUGCUAAAUAAAUAUUUAUUGAAUGAACAAAUGAACAGACUUCUUUGCCCAUAUGCGUGCCAAGCCACAAAGAUGGUGUCCGUCAUUCUCUUUGAUGUAUGCAACAGACAUUUUUGAGUGCCUAUUAUGUGCCAGGCACAGUACUAGGCACUUGGGAAGUGAUGGUAAAAAACUGGAUUCAGUCCCUGUCACAUGUCUAUAGUUUACUGACAUAUGAGAGCUGGGCAUAAUACACAGAAUUAUUCCUUCCAUCUCUGCUGGGGUAGUGGGUCGUCACCAGAGUGUGAACGAUGCUCGGGGCUUCCCGUUGCUGUUUCGCUAUUUGUUCUCAGGAUGCCUGGUAGGUUUUGUAAACUCUCAGAAGGGGAGCUCUGGGAAUUCGAUGUUCAUUGUCCCAACUAUUUGGGAGGCUGGGCUAUGGUGGGGUCCCUGCUGGAGGGCAGGGGAAACAUGGGACUCCUGUCUCAUUUGUUUUAAUCUCUGAAAUUCAGUGUUUCCAGUAGCUGGUUAUGAGCUUCGCUUCCCUUUCUCUGCCUUUAGCACUCUGCAGUUUUGCUGUUGCCAAACAGGGUGCUGAGCCCGUAUGUCUGUCAGUCUGUGGAAGUUAGGUGUUUGUGGAUCUUGCAGGAAGGCCUCAGGUGGGGGCCCCUCCUGUUCUCAAACCAAUAUCAAGUCCUUUCCUCUGAAGGAAAUGUGAAGGAGGAAGAAGAGGGGUUUGGGAGGCUUCUGAGGUUCCCUGAGAGUGCAUGAGGUAGAAGUUCCUGCUGAGCAGGAGAGCUGCUGAGUUAAGUUGAUUUGCUUUGUCGUUUGUGUCAGUGGCAGCUAGCUACAGUGGCAGCAGUGGUGUGUGUCCAGGGGUCAAUAUCCCUGAGCUUUGAGCUCCCAGUCCCAGCAGAAGUUUUCUUUCUUAGCUUUGUCAGAUUUUGCAGUGUUAAUCUCAAAAACUGUGGUGUUGUCAUCUUAGUCGUUCCAUUUGAGGCGCUUGUGUGGGCCAGGUGCUGUGACAGAUGUUUCAGAUGUGGUCCUUGGCUGCCCCCCUGCCCCGAGUGUGUGGAGCUUAGUUGGGGAGAGAAGAUAGAUGCACAAAAAGAUUUUUAAAAUAUUAGAGAGCUGGUGGGUACUAAGAACAUGGUGCUAUACAAGGGUAAUCACUUAGGGAAGCAAGUCAUCACUGAGGAUUGGCUUUGUCCCUAAAGAAACUGGGUUUCAGAUUGGGCCUUGAAAAUUGGUUAAUUUUGAAGUCAACUUGAGCAUAUUGUAAAACAGUGAUUCUCAAACUUUUUGUCUUCAUGACCCCUUUACACUCUUAAAAAUUAUUAAGGACCCCAAGAACUUUUGUUUACCAUAUAAGAAAUUAAAACUGAGGAAUUUUUAAAAAUCACUAAUUUGUUAAUUCAUUUAAUGUAGUAAUAAUAAACCCACUACAUAUAUCAUAAAUGACAUUUUUAAUGAAAAAUAACUGUUUUUCAAAGAAAAAAGGUGAGAGGAGUGACAUUUUACAUUUUUGCUAAUCUCUUUUAAUGUCUGGUUUAAUAGAAGACAACUGGAUUCUCAUAGCUACUUCUGUGUUCAAUCUCUUGAAAUAUAUUGUUUUAUGUGAAGGAUAUGAAGAAAAUCUGGCUUCACACAGCUAUGUAAUUGAGAAAGAGAGGGGCAUUUUAGUAGCUUUUGCAGAUAAUUGUGGAUAUUCUUCUCUGAUACUAUACUAAAACUCAACAAGUUGUAGUUUCAUCUUAAAGGUUAGUUGGGAUGUGGAGUCUGAAAUUUUAUCAACAAACUUUUCAUACUUUGUGACAUUAAAAUGCAUUGUUCCAUCUUACGCUUUGAAUUGGUCAUUGGGAAAUAUUGGUUCACUGAGUUACAUAGAUCUAAACGUUGACAUUUCAUUUUACGACAUCAAUAAAUGAUAUUAAUAUCACCACUGCUCUCAUCAGAAAAUUCUUCAAGUACUGGGAAACUGUCAAGCUCACAGUGGUGGAUACAAGUUUUCCAUCAUUUGAAUUUUCUCUUAAAAGUUUGAUUUUUAUCAUUGGUAACAUACUGUCAGGUUUUUUUCUUGAAGUAACAGUUUCACUUCAUUCAUUUUCAAGAAAAAGUCUGUCAGAUAACCAAGUCUAAAUAGUUAUAAUUUGUCUGUUAGUCUUUUCUUUCAAGUAAAAAUGAUGUUUCGUGUAAAAAAGUAGCUAAUUUAGCUUGCAACUCAAACAAUCGCACAGAUGCUUCUUGAGACAAUCAUGUAACUCCUAUUUUGUUAAACAGAAUAUUUAAAAGAUGUGUACUCAGGGGUCAAGAUUUAAUAAAGUUAGUUUUUAUUGGUUCAUCUAGGAUAUUCUUAAGUGAAAUUGGUACUUUAUUAUCUGUCGUGGUUCUGUGGGUUGACUGGGCUCAGCUGGGCAGUUCUCACUUGGGGUGUCUCAUGUUGCUACAGUCCAAUGGAACCCAGGGCAGGAGUCAUCUGAAGGCUCAGCUGGGCUGGACAUCCACUCUGGCUCACUCACGUGGCUGGCCCUUGAUGCUGGCUAUUGACUUGGGUGCCUGCAUGUGGCCUCUCCAUGUGCCUUGGGUUUCUCACAGCAUGAUGGCUGGAUUCUGAGCAGAAACGUCCCAAGAGUGAGUAUACUGAGAGAACCAGGCAUAAAUGGCAAGAUUGCUUAUGACCUAGCCUUGGGAAUCACACAGUGUCACUUUGUUUGUAUUUUGUUUGUAUUUCCUGUUGGUCACAGGACCAGUUCAGAUUCAGGGAGAGGACUACACAAGGGUGUGAAUGCCAAGAAGCAUAGUUCAUUGGGAGGGAAAGAGGCCUCCUUGGAGACUAGCUACUUCUUUUUAGCAUCCCUUAUGUGAGGUAACCUGGCCUGAAUAUGAAUACUUCCAGGAGAAAAGUGCAUCUUUUCACAAUUUCCAUGCUGGAAAACCACUGUUAUUUAGGAAAUUCCUAGUAGUUUGACAGAGGCCAUUGGAUGCCAGGUGAGGGAACUUUUUUGUUGUUCUUGUUGAGGAAGACUGGCUCUGAGCUAACGUCUGUUGUUACUCUUCCUCUUUUUGCUUGAGAAAGAUUGUUCCUGAGCUAACAUCUGUGCCAAUCCUCCUCCAUUUUGUAUGAGGAAUGCUGCCACAGCAUGGUUUGACAAGCGGUGUGUAGGUCUGCACACGGGAUCCGAACCUGCGAACCCCAGGCAGCCGAAGCAGAGCGCGUGAACUUAACCACUACACCACUGGGCCGGCCUCCAGGUCAUGGCACCAGGAGCCCAGCCUCAGAAUGGGGAGUCUUCAUCUUCUGGUAAACAGUUUUGGCGUUCUGGGCAGUGCAUGGCAGCACCCCUUCUUUUUCUUUCGAGCCCAGUCUUCAAAGCCUAACUUCUACUCAGCCUUGUUGUCAUCUCAGCAGCUCUCCUGAGACCAUUACCAAAUUCUCCACAGCUAAUAGUGACACAGCUUUGAAAGGGCUCUCACAUGAGGAGGAGACCGAGGGAGAGACUCCCAGGUGUUACUGGAAAACCACCUCAUCCUUCAGUUCGUGUCUAUAUUAUUAUACUAAUAGAGUUGUGACCUCAGAGGCACAGAGUUCCUUGGCUACCACUCCGAUGGAAGUGCAGGUCAGCUUUGCUCUCCCAACAGCAGCAUUAGCCAAGCAGGCUGCCCUGCAUACACAGCAGUCUGCGGGCCCACUGUCUCCUCACAAACAGGCCAUCCUUGAAUUUGCUGGAACCCAGAGCUCUACUGAUCAUCCCUGUUUCCAAACAAGCAAGCAAGGUGGUGGUAAGGAUGGAUUACUCUGGAGGUAGGGACGUAGGACGAAGAACCCCAGUGCACACAGGAUGGCGAGGAUGGUAUGAAUCACCCAGGAAGUGGAACUGGAGCUCAGCCAGAUAAAACAACUUUAUUCUUAAUAAUUCAAACAAGGACUUUUUCCUGGAGCUGGGACUGAAGUUCACGUCUGCCACUCUGUUGCCUCAUAUGAUCAAAUGAUGUAGGGACAAAUUAAGAAGCACAUAGAAGCAUAUUAAGAAAGGCCUACAUGUCCAUUUCCUGUGAAGACGUUGGGCCUCUUUUUAAAGACACCCCAUGAGAGACUGACUCCCUGCAGAGUCUAGUGGUGACUCCAGCCUGGAUCAGAAGACUUCAAAGGACACAGAACCAAUGAGUCAGAAAUUAUAUUGUAGUUAUACAUCCAUUAUUCUCAUGUGAGCUGUUAGAUCAUGUUUUACCAGGAAUUUUUCUGAGACAUUUUUAUGAAUAAAUGGAAAGGUGUUUCUGACAGA